GAAAUCUUUACAUGCGUGUCGUCUUCAAUAACAUGUCGGAAAGAUUUGAUAUGUUGUGAAUAAGUAGCUCUACAAAUCGUGUCACAGAAUUGAGAGGAAUAGAACCGAUUCAUGGCGUCGUGUGUUACAGACACGAUGGAGUGCAACAAGCACUCCGGAGAGAAGAUACAGAGACUGUGUACUAACUGCAAUGUUUUCGUGUGUCUCGAAUGCGUUUCUCAGAGCCAUGCUGGACAUGUGUUCAAAAAAUUUGGAGACAUCAUGGAAGAAAAGAAAAAAGAGCUAGAACACAUUGUAAAGCUGACCAACGAUGAGACUGUUGAAGAUCUACAGAAAAGGGUUGAAAGAACCAAAACACAGAAGGAAUCAUUUUGUGAAGACAUUCAAAAUAAAAUUGAUAUGGUCCAGAAACGGGCUGAUGUUCUCAAAGCUGCUGUAGAUGCUGCUAAAGAUGGCUACCUAAAAGAACUGAAGACAACGAGGGAUAAUCAUGUGAAGGAAUUCGACGUUGCUGAGGAAAAACUGAAAGAAGCGAUAAGGUCAGUGAGGUGUCUGGUGGAAGGAUAUGAACUCGUACUGAAAUCUGAGAACCAAAGCUCUGUCAUCGAAUGCUCUCGUAAUGCCGAGCACGAAAUUGAAAGGGCAAUUCCAGUAGUGUCCAUUCCAAACGCAAGACAUCAGAAUUUUGUUUUCUGUGAUAUUGGCGAAGAAAUUAAGAAUUUGUUUGCCAAGUUUGAGGACGAGGACUCCAUGGGAUCCGAUUACGUGGAGUGUGGAGGGAGCAGCGAUGAUGGCGAUCCGUCGGAGCUGAAAGUUACAUCCACCCUUACCAGACAACGGAGAUCGCCAAUCCGAAUCAAGAAGUGUAAAAGCAGAGCUCAGAACAGGAAAAUUAACAGAAUUCUUCUCAGUGCCGAUAUACGAACGCCCACCAGAAUUAAAGUGGGAAGCGAUGACCAGAAUGUUGCAUCAGUUUUAGAUAUGAACUCUAGUAGAGCCUGAGUAUAUGGAGAAUUCAAUAUGCUAUUGAAUUGCCAAGGAAGCAGAUACGAUUUUUACGGUAAAACAUUGAACACACAUACCAAUCUGGCACCUGACAUCGUAAAUGGAAUUAAGUCGUGUAUGGUGACCGUCCGGUAGGUGUCUUUCAGAUAGUCCCUAGUUUUGAAGUCCUAAGAGCACCCAUUAGCAACACUAAAAUUUGCUGGGAAUGUCAACUAGAACGGUCGUGUAUACCAACAUUUCUUGUGCACAGCAACAGCGUUUCAUACAAAGCGUUGGCAAAAUACUAGACUCAUAUCCAUGGAGAGCUUCACCUGAUUUUUCCUCAUUAAAGCAUCAUGGCUUUACAGCAACCCAAUUUGCACCGAAUUGUGCGACUUUGCCAAAUUUGCCUGCCCCAGAUUCUGUUUCCCUUCAGGUCUGUGGCCAAUAAUCAGCUCACUUUUAUUUGAAACAUUGAUUGAUCGAUGAAAUAUAUUGAUUGAAAACAAUGACAUACUGACUGACUGUCAGAUUGAUGGAGACAUUGUCAUAUUGCUGGAUUGAAAGUGUUGAAUUAUUGUUUGAUAAAUUGACUGGUUGUUGAUCUUGUAUCAUAACUACCCAAAAGUCAAUGUAGAUUACAUAAUUAAUUCACAGGGUUUGACAUUAACUUUUUUGAGCACUAGACCAGUCGGGCUACUUCAAAAGAUUUUUUUACUAGACCUGACUUUAUAUCCACUAGCCCUGACCAACUUUCCAGAAGAAAAAAAAACCCCGAUAGUUUCUCCAUAUUUAAAUACUUCAUUUAAAUGACAAACGUUAAGUUUGAACCAAAACGUACUUAAUUGUCUCAAAAAUAUCUUAAGUCGCGGCAUUUAAUUUGAUUUUCAAACACGUUUUCUGUUUCUUUAAAUUCUACCCGGCACGGAUAUUCUUUAGUCUAAUUAGUAUAAAAUUACCUCAACCGCCUUUUUAUUUAAUUUAUAUUUCAUAAGCUCUGCUUUUUUUCUUCCUAACCUUUUCU